AGUAACGCGUGAGUAACCUGCCUUCAAGAGGGGGAUAACAUUCUGAAAAGAAUGCUAAUACCGCAUGAUAUAUCGGAACCACAUGGUUCUGAUAUCAAAGAUUUUAUCGCUUGAAGAUGGACUCGCAUCCGAUUAGUUAGUUGGUGAGGUAACGGCUCACCAAGACCGCGAUCGGUAGCCGGACUGAGAGGUUGAACGGCCACAUUGGGACUGAGACACGGCCCAGACUCCUACGGGAGGCAGCAUG
rnacentral:rRNA from 1 species